AUUGAACGUUGGCGGCAGGCCUAACACAUGCAAGUCGAGCGGAGCGGCGGCCGGGUGCGUAAUGCCUAGGAAUCUGCCUGGUAGUGGGGGAUAACGUCCGGAAACGGGCGCUAAUACCGCAUACUAUCAGAUGAGCCUAGGUCGGAAUAGCCGGUUGGUGGGGUAAAGGCCUACCAAGGCGACGAUCCGUAACUGGUCUGAGAGGAUGAUCAGUCACACUGGAACUGAAACGCGAUCCAGACGCCUACGGUAGGCAGCAGGGAGAGAUAUUGGGCAAGUGUCGAAAGCCGUAGCCAGCCAUGCGGCGUGUGUGAAGAAGGUCUUCGGAUUGUAAAACACUUUAAGUUGGGAGACGUUACCAACAGAAUAAGCACCGGCUAACUUCGUGCCAGCAGCCGCAGUAAUUC
rnacentral:rRNA from 1 species